rnacentral:rRNA from 1 species
GUGCCAGCCGCUGCGGUAAUACGUAGGUGGCAAGCGUUGUCCGGAAUUAUUGGGCGUAAAGCGCGCGCAGGCGGCUUCUUAAGUCUGAUGUGAAAUCUUGCGGCUCAACCGCAAACGGUCAUUGGAAACUGGGAAGCUUGAGUACAGAAGAGGAGAGUAGAAUUCCACGUGUAGCGGUGAAAUGCGUAGAUAUGUGGAGGAAUACCAGUGGCGAAGGCGGCUCUCUAGUCUGUAACUGACGCUGAGCGCGAAAGCGUGGGAGCAAACAGGAUUAGAUACCUGGUAGUCC